CGUCCCAUCACAGUCCUCUUCGUCGGUGACCACAGCUACAGUACGAUAUCGAAGGAACAAUUCCUGAUAUAUGCACAAAGCCAGCUUAAUAUGAUCAAUGCAGCCUUUGCAGAAAAUAACAUCAAGCUGAAGAUGAAAGUAUACGACACCUAUGUGCUGAAUGAGGAACAGGAAAGAAACCACCUCGUGGAAAUUCCUGGGAGACAGUUUCAGUCAAUUGACUUAGAGAGAACCUCUGAGAGACUUAAGGGAAGA